UUUGCAAAAUUGACCUAAAACUCAAAGUCAAACACAAAACUAACCUCUUUUUUGUUUGGAAUUUAGUUUUGCCCUAUUCACCCCACAAGUUGAUAUAAUUCACGAAAAUACCUUCAAAUUUUUUAUUUUAUUUUUUUCGAAAAUGACAUUUUUACUCUCUCACCCUCAUCAUCUUCAGGUAAUUACAAGAUUGCCAUUGUCAUGAAUACCCCAACCACCAUGAACAACCAAUUUAAAGCUCUUAAUGCUCCCAAAAUCGAUUUACCCUUCUUCUUUCUCUAUUCUUAU
rnacentral:lncRNA from 1 species